AGAGUUUGAUCAUGGCUCAGAGCGAACGCUGGCGGCAGGCCUAACACAUGCAAGUCGAACGGACCCUUCGGGGUUAGUGGCGGACGGGUGAGUAACACGUGGAAACGUGCCUUUAAGUUCGGAAUAUCUCCUGGAAACGGGUGGUAAUGCCAAAUGUGCCCUUCGGGGGAAAGAUUUAUCGCCUUUAGGGCGGCCCGCGUCUGAUUACCUAGUUGGUGAGGUAACGGCUCACCAAGGCGACGAUCAGUAGCUGGUCUGAGAGGAUGACCAGCCACACUGGGACUGAAACACGGCCCAGACUCCUACGGGAGGCACCAGUGGGGAAUCUUGCGCAAUGGGCGAAAGCCUGACGCAUCCAUGCCGCGUGAAUGAUGAAUGUCUUAGGAUUGUAAAAUUCUUUCACCGGGGACGAUAAUGACGGUACCCGGAGAAGAACCCCCGGCUAACUUCUUGCCAGCAUCCGCGGUGAUACGUACGGUGCAAGCGUUAAUCGGAAUUACUGUGCGUAAAGCGUGCGCAAGCGGUUAUGUAAGACAGAUGUGAAAUCUUCGGGCUCAACCUGCGAACUGCCUUUGUGACUGCAUACCUGGAGUACGGCACAGGGGUAUGGAAUUCCACGUGUAUCGUUGCUGUGCGUAUAUAUGAGGAGGAACACCGAUGGCGAAGGCAAUCCCCUGGGCCUGUACUGACGCUCAUGCACGAAAGCGUGGGGAGCAAACAGGAUUAGAUACCGUGCUAGUCCACGCCCUAAUCGAUGUCACCUGGUUGUCGGGUCUUCACUGACUCAGUAACGAAGGCAACGCGUGAAGUUGACCGCGUGGGGAGCACGGCCGCAAGGUUGCAACUCAAAGGAAUUGACGGGGCCCCGCACAAGCGGUGGAUGAUGUGGUUUAAUUCGAUGCAACGCGAAAAACCUUACCCACCUUUGACAUGGCAGGAAGUAUUUAGAGAUAGAUAUGUGCCCGAAUGGGAACCUGCACACAGAUGCUGCAUGUCUGUCGUCAGCUCGUGUCGUGAGAUGUUGGGUUAAGUCCCGCAACGAGCGCAACCCUUGCCAUUAGUUGCUACGAAAGGGCACUCUAAUGGGACUGCCGGUGACAAACCGGAGGAAGGUGGGGAUGACGUCAAGUCCUCAUGGCCCUUAUAGGUGGGGCUACACACGUCAUACAAUGGCUGGUACAGAGGGUUGCCAACCCGCGAGGGGGAGCUAAUCCCAUAAAGCCAGUCGUAGUCCGGAUCGCAGUCUGCAACUCGCCUGCGUGAAGUCGGAAUCGCUAGUAAUCGCGGAUCAGAAUGUCGCGGUGAAUACGUUCCCGGGUCUUGUACACACCGCCCGUCACACCAUGGGAGCGGGCUUUGCCAGAAGUAGUUAGCCUAACCGCAAGGAGGGCGAUUACCACGGCAGGGUUCGUGACUGGGGUGAAGUCGUAACAAGGUAACCGUA
rnacentral:rRNA from 1 species